GACGAACGCUGGCGGCGUGCUUAACACAUGCAAGUCGAACGGAAAGGCCCUGCUUUUGUGGGGUGCUCGAGUGGCGAACGGGUGAGUAACACGUGAGUAACCUGCCCUUGACUUUGGGAUAACUUCAGGAAACUGGGGCUAAUACCGGAUAGGAGCUCCUGCUGCAUGGUGGGGGUUGGAAAGUUUCGGCGGUUGGGGAUGGACUCGCGGCUUAUCAGCUUGUUGGUGGGGUAGUGGCUUACCAAGGCUUUGACGGGUAGCCGGCCUGAGAGGGUGACCGGGGAGAGGUGGGCGGGGGUGCGGGCCAGGCGGGGAGGGGAGGCAGGGGUGGGAGAGAGUGCACAGGGGGGGGAAGUGGGAGGCAGCAGCGGCGGGCGGGAGAUGGCGGCGUGCGGGUUGUAAACCGCUUGCGGGUGUGGGGGGGGGGGGGCGAGGGUAAGGGGAAAAGAAGCACCGGCUAAAGACGUGCCAGCGGCGGAAGGAAUAAUCGGAAGAACUAGUGUCUGAGC
rnacentral:rRNA from 1 species